rnacentral:lncRNA from 10 species
AUUCCAGAUCAUUGUUAUUUUAAUUGGUGCCCCUCAUAGUAUGACAAACCCUUAGGGAGCCUCUGGGUCAGUAUUUCAACUGACCUAAAUUGUUUCUCUCUUCCUUCUUCCUCUAUAAAUCAUUUUGCCUCCCUGAGUGGUUGAAAUCUCAAUUCUGUUCUUCCUGUCUUCUGUCUCAUGCCUGAAGACUGCAUUAGAGAAUUAUAAUAAUCUACAGUAUUAUAUGAGUGGCAGAAACACUGCUCUAAGUAACCGAAAAGACUCUGCUUGUAUAACUGAGUUGUCCCUUACAAUGUUGUUGGUCUUGACUUUGCUUCCGGAAUGAAAUACUAAUUAAAUCAUUUUAUAAUAUGAAAACAAAAAAUAAAACCAUUUUAUUUUUAUAUUCCCAGAAGUAAUAGCAAUCUAUCGAUAGCUUUUUGGAAGUUUCUCAGUUGACAUUUCUGUCGGAAAAAUGUGAGUCAUGUAUUAUAUUGUUCCCUUCAAGUAAUUAAUAUACAAGUCAAAGCAAAAAGUUGUUAUAGAUGCUUAUUAUCUUUCAUGACCUUUUGCUGUUAGAAAUUUUUGUCUUUUUCAAAUCAUUUGAAAUUUACCUUCAGAUAGUGUAUUUCUUUUUUCUGUUUCAAUACCAGCAUAUAUUUUAGAGUAUAUAAUAACUCGAAACAAGCAGAAACUCACUAUAGAUGUUGUCAGGUAUCCUCUUCCCUGUUCAAAUCUUCUGUUCAUUCCUCCCCAGAUUGUUCAUUUGGUCGAAGUGUUUAACCCUCCCAGAUAGAUGAGAACCAUCCCUUGUCAAGGACAUGAGUGACUAUGAAGGCUGGCUGCAAACUCAAAAAAGGACUGAGUCAGAAGGGUUCCGAGAAGCGGCAAAGCUAAUGCUCUGAAGGAGGAAAAGAAAUAUGUUGCGAUGUUCUCAAGACGUAUAUCAAAGAUGUUUCAGUCCCCAGAUCUGGUUGUUAAUCUCAAAGUAAUCUCAAAGUUACCAUUACUCCUGUGGUCCAGUUGGAAGCACAGUCUCAAUGUGGAUCAUGAAA